GGGAUGACACAGUAGGAUAAGCUAAGCACACUGUUGGUUAUGUGUGCCCAAGCAUUGAGGCAGUCAAAGUAGGCAAAUCCGCUUUGAUAAUGCUGGGAUGGGAUGGGGAGCGAAAUUUAGUAGCGAAGUAGCUGAUUUCACACUGUCAAGAAAAGUCUCUAUCGAGGUUAAAGGUACCCGUACCGCAAACCGACACAGGUGGGUGAGGAGAGUAUCCUAAGGCCAGCGAGAGAACUGUUGUUAAGGAACUCGGCAAAAUGACCCCGUAACUUAGGGAUAAGGGGUGCC
rnacentral:rRNA from 1 species